rnacentral:tRNA from 1 species
GGUUCUGUAGCUCAGUCUGUAGAGCAGGGGACUGAAAAUCCCCGUGUCGCUGGUUCGAUUCCAGCCGGGACCACCA